rnacentral:lncRNA from 10 species
AGUUGCCAAGGAUGCUGCAAAAGAUAUGACAAGUGAUUGCGAAAGACGGACUGGCAUAGAGGUUAAGAGUAUGAACUCCAAAGUCACCGGCCUAGUUUAGAAGAUCCUGGUUUGCCAAUUGCAAGGUAACACGGGGGAUCAAAAUGCUGCCAUCCAACUGGGAAACAUCCUUGAAAUACGAGUGAAAAUCUCAACCUGCGUUUUAUAGGCCAGAGCUCUGCUGAUGGAAUGCUAUCAAACAGAUCGAUGCCUGCAUUUCCUUAAUUAAUGAUAAUCUCACCAGGGGAGGGGGAGUAGAUAUUGUUUUAAUCUUUGUAAAACUUUUCUGCAAACACUGGAGCUCUCUUGAGCAUUCACAGGGAUAGAGCAAGCCCUUCUCCUGAAUAAUAUUCUCAUUCGCAAGCUUUAUUUGUUCAGCUGACCCUAUGAAUAGAUGUUCUGAAACCUGUAAAAGUAAUUUUAAAAGAAAAUCUACAUUUAAA